GCUAGGCUUGGUGGCUCAUGCCUGUAAUCCCAGCACUUUGGGAGGCUGGGGUGGGAGGAUCACUUGAGACCAGGAGUUUGAGACCAGCCUGGGCAACAUAGUGAUACCCCAUCUCUU
rnacentral:SRP_RNA from 1 species